UGUUGGUUCAUCACCACCAGUCGGUGUG
rnacentral:miRNA from 1 species